UUCAUGGAGAGUUUGAUCCUGGCUCAGGACGAACGCUGGCGGCGUGCCUAAUACAUGCAAGUCGAGCGGACAGAUGGGAGCUUGCUCCCUGAUGUUAGCGGCGGACGGGUGAGUAACACGUGGGUAACCUGCCUGUAAGACUGGGAUAACUCCGGGAAACCGGGGCUAAUACCGGAUGCUUGAUUGAACCGCAUGGUUCAAUUAUAAAAGGUGGCUUUUAGCUACCACUUACAGAUGGACCCGCGGCGCAUUAGCUAGUUGGUGAGGUAACGGCUCACCAAGGCGACGAUGCGUAGCCGACCUGAGAGGGUGAUCGGCCACACUGGGACUGAGACACGGCCCAGACUCCUACGGGAGGCAGC
rnacentral:rRNA from 1 species